rnacentral:rRNA from 1 species
CCUACGGGUGGCAGCAGUGAGGAAUAUUGGUCAAUGGACGAGAGUUUGAACCAGCCAAGUAGCGUGAAGGAUGACUGCCCUAUGGGUUGUAAACUUCGUUUAUAUGGGAAUAAAUUGUUCCACGUGUGGGAUUUUGUAUGUACCAUAUGAAGAAGGAUCGGCUAACUCCGUGACAGCAGCCGCGGUAAUACGGAGGAUCCGACCGUUAUCCGGAUUUAUUGGGUUUAAAGGGAGCGUAGGGUGCUGGUUAAGUCAGUUGUGAAAGUUUGCGGCGCAACCGUAAAAUUGCAGUUGAAACUGGCAGUCUUGAGUACAGUAGAGGUGGGCGGAAUGCGUGGUGUAGCGGUGAAAUGCUUAGAUAUCACGAAGAACUCCGAUUGCGAAGGCAGUUCACUGGACUGCAACUGACACUGAGGCUCGAAAGUGUGGGUAUCAAACAGGAUUAGAUACCCUGGUAGU